rnacentral:rRNA from 1 species
UAGGGAAUCUUCCGCAAUGGGCGAAAGCCUGACGGAGCAACGCCGCGUGAGUGAAGAAGGUCUUCGGAUCGUAAAACUCUGUUAUUAGGGAAGAACAAAUGUGUAAGUAACUAUGCACGUCUUGACGGUACCUAAUCAGAAAGCCACGGCUAACUACGUGCCAGCAGCCGCGGUAAUACGUAGGUGGCAAGCGUUAUCCGGAAUUAUUGGGCGUAAAGCGCGCGUAGGCGGUUUUUUAAGUCUGAUGUGAAAGCCCACGGCUCAACCGUGGAGGGUCAUUGGAAACUGGAAAACUUGAGUGCAGAAGAGGAAAGUGGAAUUCCAUGUGUAGCGGUGAAAUGCGCAGAGAUAUGGAGGAACACCAGUGGCGAAGGCGACUUUCUGGUCUGUAACUGACGCUGAUGUGCGAAAGCGUGGGGAUCAAACAGGAUUAGAUACCCUGGUAGUCCACGCCGUAAACGAUGAGUGCUAAGUGUUAGGGGGGUUUCCGCCCCUUAGUGCUGCAGCUAACGCAUUAAGCACUCCGCCUGGGGAGUACGACCGCAAGGUUG